GCCCGUGUAGCUCAGUGGUAGAGCAUUGUACUUAUGUGGUUAUCUGACCUCCUUGGAUAUGCAAGGGUCUCGAGUUCGAAUCUCGGCAUGGGCA